CUCAAUACGCACAAUCAGAUUAUCCUUCCUUUGAUUUCAGCCUCCCACCAAGUCAAUAUAACAACCAACAUCAUAAUUAUGCCAACACCAUUGUUCUUCCAAGUGAGAGCCCAAUAAGGAUGAUGGACUUCCUGUCACCAAAAGUAUACCCAAGCACUAUUGGCACACCCCUUGAAGAUCCUUUGUUAGUUCAAGCACUUGAACAACAUGAAACACAUUCCAGUAAGUUCUAUAAACCAGAAGGUUCAUCUUGGCAGCAACGCGUAAACAAUUCUUUCAAAUCUGGGACAGUAGUAAUCCAAGAUCAGAAGAAGGGAAAUAAGGAGGUCAUUUUUUCAACUGGAAUAGAUAAUGCCUCCUACCAAUCAUUGGUUGGACAUCUUUCCAAGUUAACCUACAGGUACGACUCAGGAAUUUCCCUCCUUAGUAUCUUAGCAAGUACAAAGGUCUCGGAAUGGAAGGUUUCUCCAAUGACGAUUUACAAGCUCUACGAGAGAAAUUUCUUUUUGAGAUCAUAACUUGCAAGGACAAUGAAAUCCAGCUUCCAUUCGUAACUUCUUUCCUACAGGGACAUGGGUUUCCGCAUUUUCAAGGGAAGCAUUCAACAUGAUUUCUGCAUAUGAACAAAGCUUUUAGGCAUUCAUUGCCAUUCGUUACUGUCAAGUAUAAUGGAAUCUGCACUAGAAGAAGUUCUCCUGAAUUUGCACUGAAAG